GACGAACGCUGGCGGCGUGCUUAACACAUGCAAGUCGAACGAGAUCCCGACCGAGCGAAUCUUCGGAAGAGCAGGGGAGGGUGAAAGUGGCGAACGGGCGAGUAACGCGUGGGCAAUCUGCCCUUCACAGGGGGAUAACACCGGGAAACCGGUGCUAAUACCGCAUAAACCGGCAGCACCGCAUGGUGCAACCGGCAAAGGAGUAAAAUCCGGUGAAGGAUGGGCCCGCGUCCAAUUAGCUAGUUGGUGAGGUAACGGCCCACCAAGGCGACGAUUGGUAGCCGACCUGAGAGGGUGACCGGCCACACUGGGACUGAGACACGGCCCAGACUCCUACGGGAGGCAGCAGUAGGGAAUUUUCCGCAAUGGGCGAAAGCCUGACGGAGCAACGCCGCGUGAAGGAAGAAGGUCUUCGGAUCGUAAACUUUUGUCUUCAGGGACGAUAAUGACGGUACCUGAGGAGGAAGCCACGGCUAACUACGUG
rnacentral:rRNA from 1 species